GAGAUAUGAUGAGCAAUCAAUUGGUCCGUGUUUCUGAAUUAAUCGUGACCGACAAAUCUAAACCAAACUCUGAUCUC